rnacentral:rRNA from 1 species
UGGGGAAUAUUGCACAAUGGAGGAAACUCUGAUGCAGCGACGCCGCGUGGAGGAAGAAGGUCUUCGGAUUGUAAACUCCUGUUGUUGGGACGAAAGUAAUGACGGUACCAACAAGGAAGUGACGGCUAACUACGUGCCAGCAGCCGCGGUAAAACGUAGGUCACAAGCGUUGUCCGGAAUUACUGGGUGUAAAGGGAGCGCAGGCGGGUAAG